rnacentral:misc_RNA from 1 species
GAUGAAGAACGUAGCGAAAUGCGAUAAGUAAUGUGAAUUGCAGAAUUCAGUGAAUCAUCGAAUCUUUGAACGCACAUUGCGCCCCUUGGUAUUCCGAGGGGCAUGCCUGUUCGAGCGUCAUUAUAACCCCUCAAGCUCAGCUUGGUGUUGGGGCCUGCUGCACUGGCAGCCCUUAAAAUCAGUGGCGGCGCCAUCUGGCUCUAAGCGUAGUAAUUCUUCUCGCUAUGGAGUCCUGGUGGAUGCUUGCCAUCAACCCCCAAUUUUUCUAUGGUUGACCUCGGAUCAGGUAGGGAUACCCGCUGAACUUAAGCAUAUCAAAAAGCGGAGGA